rnacentral:rRNA from 1 species
CAGUCGCCGCGGUAAUACGUAGGUCCCGAGCGUUGUCCGGAUUUAUUGGGCGUAAAGCGAGCGCAGGCGGUUAGAUAAGUCUGAAGUUAAAGGCUGUGGCUUAACCAUAGUACGCUUUGGAAACUGUUUAACUUGAGUGCAAGAGGGGAGAGUGGAAUUCCAUGUGUAGCGGUGAAAUGCGUAGAUAUAUGGAGGAACACCAGUGGCGAAGGCGACUCUCUGGUCUGUAACUGACGCUGAGGAGCGAAAGCGUGGGGAGCGAACAGGAUUAGAUACCCCGGUAGUCCCUGUCUCUUAUACC